rnacentral:rRNA from 1 species
UACAGAGGGGGCGAGCGUUGUUCGGAAUUACUGGGCGUAAAGGGCGCGUAGGCGGCCCGCUAAGUCGAACGUGAAAUCCCCAGGCUCAACCUGGGAACUGCGUCCGAUACUGGCAGGCUUGAAUCCGGGAGAGGGAUGUGGAAUUCCAGGUGGUAGCGGUGAAAUGCGUAGAUAUCUGGAGGAACACCGGUGGCGAAGGCGGCAUCCUGGGACCGGUAUUGACGCUGAGGAGCGAAAGCCAGGGGA